rnacentral:rRNA from 1 species
GACGAACGCUGGCGGCGUGCUUAACACAUGCAAGUCGAGCGGAAAGGCCUCUUUCGGGGGGUACUCGAGUGGCGAACGGGUGAGUAACACGUGAGUAACCUGCCCUUGACUUUGGGAUAACUUCAGGAAACUGGGGCUAAUACCGGAUAGGAGCUCCUGCUGCACGGUGGGGGUUGGAAAGUUUCGGCGGUUGGGGAUGGACUCGCGGCGUAUCCGCUUGUUGGUGGGGUAGUGGCUUACCAAGGCUUUGACGGGUAGCCGGCCUGAGAGGGUGACCGGCCACAUUGGGACUGAGAUACGGCCCAGACUCCUACGGGAGGCAGCAGUGGGGAAUAUUGCACAAUGGGUGGAAGCCUGAUGCAGCAACGCCGUGUGCGGGAUGACGGCCUUCGGGUUGUAAACCGCUUUCGCUCAUGACGAAGCUUUGUGUGACGGUAGUGGGUAAAGAAGCACCGGCUAACUACGUG